rnacentral:rRNA from 1 species
CCCUUAGAUGUUCUGGGCCGCACGCGCGCUACACUGAUGCAUUCAACGAGCCUAUCCUUGACCGACAGGUCCGGGUAAUCUUUGAAUCUGCAUCGUGACGGGGAUAGAUUAUUGCAAUUAUUAAUCUUCAACGAGGAAUGCCUAGUAAACGCAAGUCAUCAGCUUGCAUUGAUUACGUCCCUGCCCUUUGUACACACCGCCCGUCGCACCUACCGAUUGAAUGGUCCGGUGAAAUCUCCGGACUGGCGUGAGUCGGAGCAAUCUGACAAACACCGGAAAGUUGAUUAAACCUUACCAUUUAGAGGAAGGUGAAGUCGUAACA